CAGCAGCCGCGGUAAUACGAAGGGGGCUAGCGUUGCUCGGAAUUACUGGGCGUAAAGGGCGCGUAGGCGGACAGUUCAGUCGGGGGUGAAAGCCCGGGGCUCAACCUCGGAAUUGCCUUCGAUACUGGCUGUCUUGAGUAUGAGAGAGGUGUGUGGAACUCCGAGUGUAGAGGUGAAAUUCGUAGAUAUUCGGAAGAACACCAGUGGCGAAGGCGACACACUGGCUCAUUACUGACGCUGAGGCGCGAAAGCGUGGGGAGCGAACAGGAUUAGAUACCCGGGUAGUCCCUGUCUCUUAUAC
rnacentral:rRNA from 1 species